UACGGAGGAUCCGAGCGUUAUCCGGAUUUAUUGGGUUUAAAGGGUGCGCAGGCGGGAGAUUAAGUCGGCGGUGAAAUUUUGCAGCUCAACUGUAAAAGUGCCUUCGAAACUGGUUUCCUUGAGUGUAGAUGAAGUAGGCGGAAUUUGUGGUGUAGCGGUGAAAUGCUUAGAUAUCACGAGGAUCUCCGAUUGCGCAGGCAGCUUACUAAACUACUACUGACGCUCAGGCACGAAGGCGUGGGGAUCAAACAGGAUUAGAUACCCUGGUA
rnacentral:rRNA from 1 species